AACUCAAAUGAAUGACGGGACCCCGCACAAGCGGUGGAUCAUGUUGUUUAAUUCGAUGAUACGCGAAGAACCUUACCAGGUCUUGACACUCCCCCGCGAUGCUUUAGAGAUAAAGCGGAGGUAUUCGGGGAGACAGGUGGUGCAUGGUUGUCGUCAGCUCGUGUCGUGAGAUGUUGGGUUAAGUCCCGUAACGAGCGCAACCCUUGUCCUUAGUUACCAGCACGUUAUGGUGGGCACUCUAAGGAGACUGCCGGUGACAAACCGGAGGAAGGUGGGGAUGACGUCAAGUCAUCAUGGCCCUUACGGCCUGGGCUACACACGUGCUACAAUGGUCGGUACAAAGGGUUGCCAAGCCGCGAGGUGGAGCUAAUCCCAUAAAACCGAUCGUAGUCCGGAUCGCAGUCUGCAACUCGACUGCGUGAAGUCGGAAUCGCUAGUAAUCGUGAAUCAGAAUGUCACGGUGAAUACGUUCCCGGGCCUU
rnacentral:rRNA from 1 species